UGUAAGCGUAUACCAAAGUUGUUGCAGUUAAAACGCUCGUAGUCGGAAUUUGGCAGUUCCGGAUGUGUGCACGUCGUGUGCGCACUUCGCGGGGAUUGCUUUUGUGGUCUUGCGUAGGAUGAGGCACUUUUAUUAGUGAACGUCCUCACGCAACUACUUUUUACUGUGAGAAAAUCAGAGUGCUCAAAGCAGGCAUUUGCCGUGAAUGUAUUAGCAUGGAAUAAUAGAAUAGGACUCGGUUCUAUUUUGUUGGUUUGUUGGGACUGAGUAAUGAUUAAGAGGGACAGUUGGGGGCAUUUGUAUUUCGGCGCUAGAGGUGAAAUUCUUAGAUUGCCGAAAGACAAACUGCUGCGAAAGCGUCUGCCAAGGAUGUUUUCAUUGA
rnacentral:rRNA from 1 species